CGGAUUAAAACAAAGGCACAGCAAAGUCCUCGUAGCAUCUUUAGGGAUUACGCGAGGACCAGAACUUUUAACACAAAUGUAAGAAAUUUUACCAAGGAAUCCCUUUACUUAACAGCAUCUCAUAAAGCUCCAAUCAGGUUCCAGAAAAGGCCUCUUAAGACAUCCAGGUAGAACCUA
rfam:Pteropus vampyrus cont1.135828, whole genome shotgun sequence.